UUAUUGCAACGGUCGGAAGCGGCGAGCUUUGCCUUUUUGCAAAUAUUUUAAGGAAGCAGUGGAAAGUUCAAAGUAGAUGGCUUUUUAUUAUUAUUUUUUAGGAGAUCUGGAGAGGUCAAACGAUUGGUGUUUUUUGCAGAUCGAGAUUUCCUGGAACUACCCUCGUUUGGAAAAGACUUUCUUUUGCCUUCCUUUUAAUCUAUGUAAGCAGUCAGUGAGCUGAAUGGACUGGGGCAAAAGGUAGUUUGAAAAUAAAGCCUGAAAUUAAUUGAACAACCUGAAACUACUUCUUUCUGAUUGCAAGCGACAGCCAUGCUUUCUGCAUUCAUGUGGAACUGAAUGUAGCAGAGUUGUACUAAGAAAGUUUUCUGGCCAGGAGGAAGAAACAUGAAGCAAGAAGAACAUAAGGAACUUAUUGAGACUAAGCCUUAGAGAAACCACUGCAGUCUGUUCUCAAUUCCCCGUUUCACAUUCCUGAUAUGACCCAUGGACUAUAGUUGAAAACUGAAGAGCAAUUAUGUUUAUGAUCUCCAUUCUCCGAGCUGAAACAGCAUCUCCACUCUGCAGCAUCACUUGCCCUAGAUCUUUUAUUAUCAUCUAAUAAUGAUGAUAAUGAAAUCUGUGGUUCUAAAUCAUACCGCGGUGCGGCAAGUAGAGUUGAACAAGGGCCUGGAAGACCACGACUGAAUUCUCCACUUAGUCAUGAA